GAUUGGUGGUUGGUUAAUGGUGACCUUGGUACCUCCCUCGGUCUCCCUGUCACCACCACUGGUCACGAUGAUGUCUUCCCCAAGGGAUUAAUUCACACAACACGACCCCAAUCUUUCGCCAUGGAGAUGGGAAGAGAGUUUGGACUGCGGUUGUUCCCAUCUUUCAUCAAUACAGAAUUGAAUGACUGGAAGGCCGGGCCUUCAGGUGAGCAUAGCGCUCCACAGUCCCGGUGGCCCGAGGGGGGGGGCAGCAGUCACUUCCCUCUCCUGUCACCUCAGAUUUACCUCACUGCAGCCAGAGGAAGAGGAAAGAAUUCAUUCUCCCAGAGUCACAAGAGUUCACAGAGGACGUCUUCCCGCACAGCUGCCGAAUUGCUUAAUGAAGAGUGCCACCCUGUGUCUGAUCCCUCAAGAGGCAAAACUAGGAGGAGACCCCCACCAACAGCAUCCUAGUUGGAAACGCAGCCCUCAGCGAGAGUGCCGUGUUUCCACUGACGCCCUGGUUGGAUGCGUACCUGUGCCAGGGUUCAGAUCCACAGGUAAAAGACACUUCUUGUGGAACCAAACGCGACUCUCAGCUGGGACUUCGGGUGAGGACCUGGAAGUGGCUGCUCUCUUCCCAUUGGUUCACCAACAGCUGGAAUUUCAGACUCAUACAGUAGAGACACACCCACACAUACCAUCCCAUGCAUGACACAGACACAGUCUCGUGUGAAAGAGAGAAUCCAAAUCCCUUCCCAUCACCCUCCUUGAGGGACAAUAAAAGCCAUCGGCAUGGCUUCCCCUUUCCUGGUGCCAGUCAAAGGAUGUACACAAUGGCAAUGUCAGCAUCAGCACUGUGCAGAUGAUGAGGUCACCUCGUCAGGAGUUGGGGAGUCGGCCCUCCAGCCUGGGUGGUUCUUGAGAUGGCUGGUCUCUUCUGGAGGCCACUGGCAGAGAUCCACACACAGGACAGCUGAGGAGUCAAGGACCCAGGAUCUAACCAGGCCUCAGGCAGGGCUGUCAGCCCUUGACUCAGCACGCCUCCAUGCCAUCUCGUCCUAACAUGUCCCACCAGUCUCCACGGCGUGGACCCUGACUCUGGUUCUUUGUGCUCUCAGAACACCAGCCUAGAACUUACAGUUCAUCUCUCCCAGUACUGUCUCUAGCUUCUGGCCAACCUAGAGAGAGGUUUUGGAGUGGUGUCCACCCAGACAGGCUCAUCCUGCUGGAAGUUAUGAGGGGCAGUGCCCAGGACUACAUGCUGAAAAAGUCAUUCAUCCCCCCUCCCCCAUAAUUCUUUUAGAAUCUAAA